GUCUGGUUAGCUCAGUUGGUUAGAGCGUGGUGCUAAUAACGCCAAGGUCGCGAGUUCGACCCUCGUGUAAGCUU